CGUUUGCUCCCUGAUACCUUCAUAAGUACUCGAUCAGAUUUCAAAGAAAAUAGAUCAUUCUACAUUUUCUGCCAGCGAAGCAAUUUUUUUGAAACACGGUUAGUGAAUGACUGCCACACAUUUUACACGUUGGAACAACUCUCUUUCGUGUUACAGUUUACAAAUGUUUGGACUCCUUUGUUUCCCCACUAUUUAGGCCAGACUGCAACUUUUAGAGAGACAAGAAACUCGUGAUCUGCCUGGAGCUGGAAACAAUGGAGAAUCUCAUGAUAAAGGCAAGAUAGGCAUGCUUUAAGGCACAUAAAAUUACACUUUUAUUGGCUCAUGCUAACUGCACAUGGACAUCAAAACCUCAUGCAUUUACAUCACACAACAAAAAUGUGCACCAAACUACCAAACUUGCCAGCGGUUCAACCAGAUGCAUAUAUAGCUCUUUCAUGCCCGCAGGAGCUAUAUGUAGAGAGUGUUAUGGGUCAGAUUUACUACCUGGAUGGAGAAUUUUCGUCCAAGUUCCUUACGCGCUUCCAAUCCAAACUAGCUAACUGAACAAUAUGUGAGAUAGUGGAGGAAACCAAUCCAGGCUGAGAAGGAUUCCAGCAACUUUUCAUUGUCUCAGCUUCAAAGAUUUAUCACAAUGUGUUCCGGCGAUGAGCAGGCAUCUGCUACCUUCUCAUGGAUAUUCUUCCACUGUGGCGUUGAGCAGGGGCGCACCCUCCUAGAGACGGGUAUCAACCGGCCUCUCGGCUAGCCCAUUGGUGGGUUCGCUGGUUCUCAGGGUCCUUAGUAUUGCUGCCUCUUUGCGGGCAACAACAGUGGCACCAACCGCGAGAUCAUCCUAGGACAGUGAGAGUUCCAAGAUGGCCCAAGUGCUGGCAUUUUUUUCUUUGACGCAGAAGUGUUGGCGUUUCUGCUGGUGACAUGUGGGUUGCUUGCUACAUUCUUGAGGUAUCAAUAUCAAUCAAUCUGGAAGAUGGUCUGAAAUAGCCAUAUCCAUAUGAUCUUAUUGUCAUCAUAUCCUUGUGACUGAAUGUUAUCCUCCCACUUU